UACAUGGGGUGCAAACGUUGCUCGGAAUUAUUGGGCGUAAAGCGCACGUAGGCGGUCCGUUAAGUCGGAUGUGAAAGCCCCCGGCUCAACCAAGGAAGUGCAUCCGAAACUGCUGAGCUUGAGUUCUUAAGAGGAUCGCGGAAUUCCCGGUGUAGAGGUGAAAUUCGUAGAUAUCGGGAGGAACACCAGUGGCGAAGGCGGCGAUCUGGGAAGAUACUGACGCUGAGAGGCGAAAGCGUGGGGGAGCAAACAGG
rnacentral:rRNA from 1 species